rnacentral:rRNA from 1 species
AUUGAACGCUGGCGGCAGGCCUAACACAUGCAAGUCGAGCGGAGCGGCGGACGGGUGAGUAAUGCCUAGGAAUCUGCCUGGUCGUGGGGGAUAACGUCCGGCAACGGGCGCUAAUACCGCAUACUAUCUGAUGAGCCUAGGUCGGAUUAGCUAGUUGGUGGGGUAAAGGGCUACCAAGGCGACGAUCAGUAACUGGUCUGAGAGGAUGAUCAGUAACAUUGGAACAGGGACACGGUCCGAACUCCUGCGGAUGGCAGCAGUGGGGGAUAUUGGACAAUGGGCGGAAGCCUGAUCCAGCCAUGCCGCGGGUGUGAAGAAGGUCUUCGGAUUGUAAAGUACUUUCAGCGGGGGGGCGUUACCCGCAGAAGAAGCACCGGCUAACUCCGUGCCAGCCGCCGCGGUAAUAC